GUACCCUGGUAGUCCACGCUGUAAACGAUGUCGACUUGGAGGUUGUUCCCUUGAGGAGUGGCUUCCGGAGCUAACGCGUUAAGUCGACCGCCUGGGGAGUACGGCCGCAAGGUUAAAACUCAAAUGAAUUGACGGGGGCCCGCACAAGCGGUGGAGCAUGUGGUUUAAUUCGAUGCAACGCGAAGAACCUUACCUACUCUUGACAUCCAGAGAACUUAGCAGAGAUGCUUUGGUGCCUUCGGGAACUCUGAGACAGGUGCUGCAUGGCUGUCGUCAGCUCGUGUUGUGAAAUGUUGGGUUAAGUCCCGCAACGAGCGCAACCCUUAUCCUUUGUUGCCAGCGGUUCGGCCGGGAACUCAAAGGAGACUGCCAGUGAUAAACUGGAGGAAGGUGGGGAUGACGUCAAGUCAUCAUGGCCCUUACGAGUAGGGCUACACACGUGCUACAAUGGCAUAUACAAAGAGAAGCGACCUCGCGAGAGCAAGCGGACCUCAUAAAGUAUGUCGUAGUCCGGAUCGGAGUCUGCAACUCGACUCCGUGAAGUCGGAAUCGCUAGUAAUCGUGGAUCAGAAUGCCACGGUGAAUACGUUCCCGGGCCUUGUACACACCGCCCGUCACACCAUGGGAGUGGGUUGCAAAAGAAGUAGGUAGC
rnacentral:rRNA from 3 species